UACGUAGGGACCAAGCGUUGUUCGGAUUUACUGGGCGUAAAGGGCGCGUAGGCGGCAAUUCAAGUCAUCUGUGAAAUCUCCGGGCUUAACUCGGAACGGUCAGAUGAUACUGCUUUGCUAGAGUGCAGAAGGGGCAAUCGGAAUUCUCGGUGUAGCGGUGAAAUGCGUAGAUAUCGGAAGGAACAUCAGUGGCGAAAGCGACUUCCUGGACCAAUACUGACGCUCAUGUGCGAAAGCGUGGGGAGCAAACAGG
rnacentral:rRNA from 1 species